GCCCUGGUGGUGCAGUGGUUAAGCACUUGGCUGCUAACCAAAAGGUCAGUGGUUCAAACCCACCAGGUGCU
rnacentral:tRNA from 1 species